rnacentral:rRNA from 1 species
UACGGGGGGGGCAAGCGUUGUUCGGAAUUACUGGGCGUAAAGGGCUCGUAGGCGGCCAACUAAGUCGGAUGUGAAAUCCCCAGGCUCAACUUGGGAACUGCAUCCGAUACUGGUGGGCUUGAAUCCGGGAGAGGGAUGCGGAAUUCCAGGUGUAGCGGUGAAAUGCGUAGAUAUCUGGAGGAACACCGGUGGCGAAGGCGGCAUCCUGGACCGGUAUUGACGCUGAGGCGCGAAAGCCAGGGGAGCAAACGGG